rnacentral:lncRNA from 1 species
CUUUGGGAGGCUGAGGCAGGCAGAUCACCUAAGGCCAGGAAUUCGACACCAGCCUGGCCAACGUGGCAAAACCCGUCUCUACUAAAAAUACAAAAAUUAGCCGGGCGUGGUGGUGUGCGCCUGGAAUCCCAGCUACCCAGGAGGCUGAGGCAGGAGAAAUGCUGGAACCCGGGAGGCAGAGGCUGCAGUGAGCUGAGAUCAUGCCACUACUGCACUCCAGCCUGGGUGACACAGCAAGACUCCCUCUAAAAAAAGAAAAAAAGAAAAGAAAAGAAAAGAAAAUGAUAUAUCCAUGAUGAAUUAAAAUGGAGUGGAACCCACUGAUGGUAUGCAGCUGAUAAGACGCUAUAGAGAAAUGAUAUCCGGACACAUGGUGAGACUUUUUCUCCUCUGUAAAUCUCAAUUCUUGUGAUUCUUUCAAAGGGAAAGCCACAGAAGGUACCAGUUAUCCACUCACUGACUUAGGUGCCUCCACUAGAAUUCUCAGCACGUUUUUGCAGAAGUAAGUUAUCUUCACUAUUGCUCUAACACUUCUUAGUCUCCUUUUUCUUUCUUUUCUUUUUUUUUAGACAAAGGAAAAGUAAACCGCUGGUUUAGAGUCUUUGGAAGGCAAUUGUAUCUGACUAGAAUUUAAUAUUAUUGUUUUUCUUUCAUUGUAUUGCAUUUAUCUGUAUGGCUAGUUAAACUGAUUUUCCAUUUAAAAGUAGUAAUGCAUUUUUUUAUAAUUACAUUGUUUUAAGUAAACAAGAAUUAUUCAAAGGACAAAAACACUAGCACAGAUGGCAUUCAAUGAUUGCAGAUAUCAUAAAGAUAGUUCAUGAAUGACAAAGAUUUGAGAAGUACUGUGUUCACGAUGCUUCCUGGAAGAGGUGGGUUAUACAGUGUUUCUUAGAGAAAGGGAUAGGGGUCUACUGCUAGGAGGGAAAGAUGAAGCUACUUAGGGGGACUAGGAAACACGCAGUUGGCCUGCCCUCUGCUUGGAGAUCACAGCCAAGGAAACACAGGAGAGGCACCCCCUGGAGGAGCUCCGUGGGCUGCAGGGCUGACGUGGCCCAGCCUGGGCAACAAGAGCGAAACCCCAUCUCAAAACCACAACAACAACAACAGGACAACAGAGAUGGACGACGGAUCGGGAAAGCCAACCAGACAGCGUGAGGCCAGGACGGAAAGAGGCACAGGGAGCUCUGCUCAGUGUCGCUACAGGGGAUCUCUCAGGCUCACAACGGGCCACUCCUCUAGGGAAGUUCUGGUCUCAUCAUGAUCCUUGUUUGGUCUCACUCCCCAUGUCCUUCUCUGUCCCUCCUCCAACUGCCAUUUAUUUAUUUAACUGAAAAAGUACCAAUCACCCACAUAGGCAUGACAUACUCAUCCAUGUACCCAUUUCUUAAAAUUGAUCAUUGUUAACAUUUGGUGUAAUUUGCUUUAUUUAUUUUUAAUGAAAUAAAUAAAACUUUACAGAAAAUGCUUUAUUUUUCUCUUUGUUCCCUCCCCAUCCUAUAUUUUUCUCCUAAAAAACCCUAUUAUCAGAAAUAUUAGUGUGUAUUCCCAGUUUCGACUUUUUAUUUUAUUACACACACACUCCCACACAUAGCUGUGACAAUGAACUUCACAUAGUAUGGUUCUGUAUUUUCUCUUUGUUUUUCAAACUUACAUAAGUAUUUUACUAUUUCUCAUGGAAAAACUCACUUUUCCCAUCCAACGUUAUGUUUCCUUAAGAUCUCUCUAUGUUGAUAUAAAGAAAUCUAGCUCAUUCUUUUUAAUGAAAAUAAAGUAUAUUUUAUGAAUGUAACUCAUGCUAACCAUGGCAAUAAAAGCUCCAUCAAGCAUGCAUUU